CCAAGGAGGGACCCGCUGGGAGCACAAAAGUCACAGGAGCCAAAGAGCAGCCUGGGACAGGAUCCUUCCUGCCUUCAUCUGCUAAGGCUGUCCCACAGUCCUCCUUACCUAAAUCCCUCCAGGAGAGAGCUGGUCUCCCAGGAGUGCUCUCACUCCUAAGAACAAAAAUUCACAGGCCCACAUGAGGGACAAGCUCCAGUCAGAGAGAGCAACUAACACCAGAGAUAACCAGAUGGCAAGAGGCAAGCACAAGAAGAGAAGCAACAGGAACCAAGGCUACUUGGCAUCAUCAGAACUCCUAACACAGAAAUACUUGAUAUCCCAACACACCACAAAAGCAAGAUUUGGAUUUAAAACCAAUUCUCAUGAUGAUGAUAGAGGACUAUAAGAAGGACAUAAAUAAAGUCCUUAGAGAAAUACAAGAGGAGACAGGAAAAAAAAGUCGAA
rnacentral:lncRNA from 1 species